rnacentral:tRNA from 3 species
GCCCCUGUGGUGAAAUGGAUAUCAUCCCUGCCUUCGAAGCAGUUGUUCCAGGUUCGAAUCCUGGCGGGGGCACAA